CUUGAUGUAUGUAGAGGCUGAAUACUUCUGUGGGGGCUGGUCUUUAAUUUAGAAGCCAUUUCAGACUGGCAGAUGGUAGAGGGAUAGAUAGAAAUGUGACAAAGCAAAUACAACAAAAUGUUAAUUGUAGAAUCUAGGUCAUGGGUAUAUGGGUGUUCACUGAACCCUUUUUUCACCGUUUCUGUAUGUUUGAAAUUUUUCAAAAUAAAAUGUUGUGGGGAGAAAGACCUCACCUGCCAGUCCAGCUGAACACAUUCUGUUUCCUCAGUCACUAAGCUGGAAAAAGUGUCCAGAUCCACUCUGGGUGGGUCUCCCUAAGCCCAGCCUGGGGGACCGCCCCCCUCCACAAAGGGAAUCGGGACACUGGGCUCCAGUCCCAGCUCUGCCAGUGACUUGCUGGGUGUCCUUGAGCAAGUCAUUGCCUCUUCCACACCCCACACCUUGUGAUGUAACUUUAUACACAACCCUCCAGGACAGGACAAAAAUCCCUGGAUUUGGGGGUUGCUGGAGCUGUAUUUUAAUGGAUUGCUCCCAACCCCAAGAACGGUUCUGGUAGAACCUAACAGCCUGGGCUCUGGCGUGCAGCGACUCGCGGGGCCCUGGUGGGCCAGGUGGCAGCAACUUCGGAGAAUUCGCCAAGCUGAGUGAGGCUCCGCCCCGCGGGGCAGGUGUGGGUGGGGUUUGCUCGAGGAGCCACGCCCACCGCCUGUAGACCCUGCCCCUUCCCGCGUUGGCCGGCGGAGGGCGGGUCCCUCGCUGUAGCUCCCCCUGCAGGGCAGGGCCGAGGAGCCCGCAGGGAGCCGGCGCAGCAGGACGUGUUCCCAGAAUGGGAUGACCGAGUCAAAGGACACGGACAGUUUCAUGACACGCAGCACACAGAGCAUGCCUCUCCAGCCAGGCACGAGUGUGUCGGCUGUGCUGGUCGCCACCACAACCGGAAGCUGUGCGUCGGGGUCUCUGAGACCACCCCCCAAGAACGUUCUCGAGAUUCAUCCAUGUGGUAGCAUGCCUCGGUACUUCAUUCCUUUUUGUGGGUGAAAAUUUCCCAUCAUGUGGAUAUACACCCACGUUCACAGCACCGUUCGUCACCAUAGCUAUAACACGGAAGCAAUCCAUGGGUCCAAUGACAGAGGAAUGGAUGAACAAAAUGUGGUCUAUACCUACAACGGGAUGUUACUCAGCCUUUCCAAGGAAGGAAAUUCUGCCAUCUACCGCAAUGUGAAUGAAUCUUGAGGAUAUUGUGCUAAGGGCUGAAAUAAGCCAGUCACAAAAAGGCAGAUACUGGGUGAUUCCACUUACGGAGGUACUUAGAAUUGUCAGAAUCGUGGACAGAACAUGGAAUGAUGGGUUCCAGCGGCUGUGUAGGGAGAGGGAACUUGUUUAAUAGGGACAGAGUUUCAGUGUUACGAGACAAGAAAAUCCCAGAGGUGGAUGAUGAUGGUUGCACAUUAUGAAUAUAUUUAAUACCAUCAAACUGUACAUUCAAAAUGGUGAAGACGGUAAAUUUUGUUAUGUGUAUUUUACCACAAUAAAAAAAAUUUUUCUUAAAAACUAAGUUGAGGGGAAGUUGGCAGAGUUUCCAUCAGUCAA